UGAAAGACAGCGACGAAGAAGAG
rnacentral:miRNA from 1 species